GAAAAUUUCACCCUUGGUGUGGCAUCAUUGUUUGUCCUGUUGUUUGGUCAGGUCAGCUAACUUUUCUGUACUGCAAGAAUUUCUCCUAUCUGAUUUAUCUCCUGGAAGGAUCACUGAAAAAAACAUUGCAAAGAAACUGGAUUUACUCAGCAGAAGCCAGACAGAGGUGUGAUUUGACACUCCCCUAUUGCUAGUUACAGAGGUUCUUGACUAAUAUCAGCUGCUUUCUGAGCUCUUUAGUGAGUGAGUGUGACUGCAGGGAAUUUGGGACUUCUAAAACACCCAUCUCUGAGUUAUGAAUGGGCAAAUGGGUAUUUCUAAAAUGGGAAGCCUGCUAGACGUGA